ACGAACGCUGGCGGCGUGCUUAACACAUGCCAGUCGAACGGUGAAGGGACUGGUUUUGCUGGUCCUGGAUGAGUGGCGAACGGGUGAGUAACACGUGAGUAACCUGCCCCCUUCUUCUGGAUAACCGCAUGAAAGUGUGGCUAAUACGGGAUAUUCUGGGUCUGUCGCAUGGUGGGCCUGGGAAAGAUUGCGCCUUUUUUGGUGUUUUUGGUGGGGGAUGGGCUCGCGGCCUAUCAGCUUGUUGGUGGGGUGAUGGCCUACCAAGGCGGUGACGGGUAGCCGGCCUGAGAGGGUGGACGGUCACACUGGGACUGAGACACGGCCCAGACUCCUACGGGAGGCAGCAGUGGGGAAUAUUGCACAAUGGGCGCAAGCCUGAUGCAGCGACGCCGCGUGAGGGAUGGAGGCCUUCGGGUUGUGAACCUCUUUCGCCAGUGAAGCAGGCCUGCCUCUUUUUGUGGGUGGGUUGACGGUAGCUGGAUAAGAAGCGCCGGCUAACUACGUG
rnacentral:rRNA from 1 species